AUCCAUGUGGGUUUGGUAAGAAUUGACUACUCCAUGCUUCAGAAUUCUGAACCGUCCUUUCCUCUCCUCUCAGUCCAUGGUCCCUCGCUCUUCAGCAUCACCGAGACGCCCCUGAUCUUUUCCUUCUUCAUGAUCAUCAUCUCACUCUUCAUUCUUCCAUCUUUUUUUUUUCAACAUCAUCUUCAUCUUCUUAUCUUCUAUCUGUCUUGGUGAGAAGAAAAAAAUAAUUUGCUCCGAGCUUCUUUCUUCCUCUGCCAAAAAUAAUCUAGCCAUUUAAUUUUUUCCCUUUUUUUGAGCAAGAUGAGGAGUUUAGUUGUAGCUUUUUGAGCAAACUAAUGUUGUUUAUUCUUUUUUACAUUGCAAGAUAAAAGACCUUCAGAUGUUUCUGCAUCUGCUUGAUCGUCUUCCUCUCCUCUUCUUCUCUCUUAUUAUUAUUUUUUUUGGUCAAAAACCUCUUCUUCCUUUCACCAUUUUUCUAUCUAUGCAUGUGAUAAGCAAGUGAUAGAGACAAAUCUGAUAUCCUUUUAGCUAUUGAAUCUGAACAUUUUGAGAUUUUUCUUUCAUUAAAUUUUCUGUUCAUGUUGUUUUCUCCUUUUACUUAUCUGAUCUGAACUUGACCUUUUUUUUUUGUGAUUGCAGGUGGGAAAAGUUUUUAGAUUUCAUGUUUUUAUUUUGGUAAAUUAAGUUUUGGUUGUAAUUUUCCAGGUUUUCGGUAUUUGAAUCCUUAACAAGAAAAUAUUUGGUUUUUUUUUUCAGGUUUUCGGUAUUUGAAUCCUUAACAAGAAAAUAUUUGGUGCCUUCUUAGUUUUUGGGGUUUCUUUGACAAACAGCCAAUAGCACUGUUAUUACAGGGAUGGAUGGUAAUUUUUUUGGAAAAGGGUGUAACUUUCUGGCUGGAGUAUUAUAGCAAAUGAAAGCUAUAAAUAGACUAAUUUAUUUUAUUUCCAAUUGGGCUAUGAUGAUAUAAUUUUGGUUUCUUUAGAUGUAUUUCAGGUUUUAAAUUGAUUGCCAUAUCUUGGCGAGGCAACCCUGAUGGCAUUUGGCUUUCAUUCUCCCCUUGAAAUGCAAUUGGGUCUGCAGCCAUGCUUGAUUGAGCUGCACGACUAUGAAGCUUAAACAAUUAGUGAUGGCAAUUUUCUAGAAGCACUGAAAUUAAUGAACUUUACUCGAGAUGGGUUCAAAGUGAACUACAUGAGGAUUUGAAUGAUGUUUAGAUGGUGGAAACUUGGAAGCUAAUGAAGUUUUGUCAUGAAUGCUGGAUACUUUCCCUUCUCUCUACUAUCUUUAGCAAAUAGUCAUUAUUUACUUCCAGAGUCACUUACUAUAGUAUAGAUAUCAAAUUUUGUGAUAGUUCUUUUUAAUUUUUCAGCACUAUUGCAUAGUUCCAACAGAAUUGGCUGACUGCUCGAGACGCUGAUCAAGUAAAGACUAGAGGCAUUUCUCUAGAUAUAGCUGCAAGAGAGCACUUUUCGAUGAAUGUAUCUUAAAUUGUGACUUAUUUCUUUUUCACAAUUAAUGACAUGCAUAGUGCAUUGGGAGAGCCUACCUCAAUUAUAUGUGUUAUUAUACUCUUCAACUUUA